AAUGGUGAAUAAAAUCUUUGAAAGGGAACUUAAAAGUCAUAUGUAGGGGCUGGAAAGCUGGCUCAGUGAAGACAACUUACUGUUCUUUCAGAUCACCCAAGUUUGGUUCUCAGCAAACUUGGCUCACAACUGCCUGGAAGCGAAGCUCCAAGGAAACCUGACACUUCUGACCUCCAAGGGUACCUACACUCAGGACUGUCUGUGAACCGUCAUAGAUUGGAGACAUCAGGAAGGAAGAUGGUCUGAGGCAAGUGGCAGAAGGAAGGGCUGUGGAUUGAAUUUGUGGAUGCAGAAUCUGUGGAUUUGGAGGGUCAGCCGUGUACUGAUAAAUUUUGAGAAGGGUAUGCAAACGUUUAUUGAAGAUGUUGGGUAAAGUAUGUGUUGAAGUGGUGAUGGGGUAUGGGCAGAAGUUCAGAGUGGAAAACUGCACUGGAGGUGACUAAGAGUAGAGUGGAUCCUGCUGGUAACUGGUACGCAGCAGAGGUGGAGAGGAUAAGUAGAUGAUGCUCAGAAUAGAGGUGGGGAAGAGCUUUUGUGUAAGACCUAUGAAUAUGUCAAAGCGCUAACGCUUGUGUUGUUCCAUUGUUUCCAGAUAAUCUCCCUCACCAUCAGUGACAGCUUUAGUUGACCUACUGGCCUCCAUUACAAUCUCAAUUCCGCAGGCUCUGUUUGCUUUUUAGUCUGAAAACAUAUUCAAACAAGUCAGUCACACCCUCCUGAGUUGCCAGGGGUCACUGUACCCUCUGGCUACUCAAAGAUCUUUUCUCCAUGACACUUAAUUGUUCACUAAGGACUACAGGACUACAGUGCAACUCCUAUAUGACUCUGUAUAGUGUGCAUUGUGCAUCUAUGCUGGUCUGUAAAUAGAUACAACUUUCGGUAUUGGGUGCACAGAGUUUGGCCAUUUCACAUCACGUAAGGCAAGGGAGCCCCUUCUUCCUGACAGAGUGAGUGGGAAGUGGGGGGGGGGUUUCACCAGCAAACAAUCCAUGACAAUCAAAGAAGAGCAGAGAACAUUGCUCAAUAGUCACCAAACACUUCCAGACAGGUUCUGUUUCAUUUUGAGUGCCACUGUAUAACCUAGUAUGGCCUUGAAUUUAUGGUAAUCCUGCCUCAGGCUUCUGAGUGAUGGGAUUAGAGGUGUGAACAGUCCAAUCCGUUUUAGUUAACUCAUCUUUUCUAACUUGUUUUUGAUAGGGCCAGAAGGUCUGUGUUAUGACUGAUUAGGUAGAGACAGAAAGUGAAAGCUGAGACUUUUUUGUAGCUAGAAACCAGAUUGUGCAAAGAGAGUGUAUAGAAAGAGGUUCCAAGCAUAAAUUACACCAAGGGAGAGGCAGGGCUGGGGUAGAGGAUCACUUUUAUUCUGGAUUAUCUGGAGGUUGGGUCAGAGCUGCUUGCUGUCUUUCACACUGUUCCAUGGUACAGCUGCCGAUGGAGCUGAAUCCCGAGGGUUACAAAAAGCCCCAAAUAAUAAGCCACUCACAGUGUCAUGGUGGCACAGCAAUGGGGAUAAUUUAACUUGGUCUAGGCUAAGAGACCUUAAACUCUACACCUAGUGCUCUGAGAGACCCCAAUGCCAGCAAUGUUCCCAGGACUUCAUGGAGGAGCAAGAGGGCUCUGUUUUUAAACCUGUAAACCCGAGUAGCUGCUAGUAACAUUGGUUGAAAGGGGGAGAAGUAGAGAAGGUGUAGAUUUGAGGAUCAAAAUUUAAAGAAGAAUUUAGAAGACUGCAUUGCUAAGCAUGCUCAGAAAAAUGGUGUGAGAGAAAGGACGUUAGCUGAGGGAAUGAAGAUAGGCUAUCAUGAAAGUAGGGAUCAAAGUUUUUUGGAGAGAUGAGAUCUUAAUAAGUAGUUGUUUGGAGUUUAUUCAUCCUAAUAGGAGAGAAUAAUAAAGGAUAGCAAGGCAGAGAUGCCCGGCCUAACCAAGGAAUUUGGCUCAGCUGAUUCAAAAUAAGAAGUAAGGCUGUAAAUAUGUCCCAGGACCUUCCUAACAAGGACCUUAUAACUUAACUAGGUUCACGCAGAUAGUUUAAAUUUCAUUGGAAAGGCAUUAGUGUAUUGUGGAGGUUUACCUGAUGCCAUGGAGAUUUUGUGUUUAAAGGAUUGGCCUCCUAGCUAUGAAAGGUCCAUCUUAGAUAGGAGUUUGGCAAAAGCUGUAACUGUCUCCCAUUUCAAAGUGAUGAGUGUCUUCUAAAAUGGAAUGCAGUGAAAGACAGUGUUGGUAAGGGUCCCUUGAAUGAGCCUUGGUAAGGAAAUAAGAAAAAGAAGCUGUUCAGGACAAAAAGGAGUUCAUGUAUUUAUCUGUCAGUAUAAGCACACCAGGGUAAGUCUGAGUUAAAGAGGAAGAUUUUAACUCCUACAUAUUGGGUUUGAGAUGCUGUUGGGAAUUUCACAAGGAGAAGUUGAAAAUGAGAAGAAAGACCGGGUUUCCAGUGAUGUGUUGCCGAGACGGGAUGCUGAGGUAACCUGAGGAUGCUCUCCUGACAUCAUUUCCUCUAGCCUCCUUGCUCCUUGACAUUGCAGGGAGUCAUUGAACACACACUCAUGGGAUUGUUCUUCCCAUUGCCAAUCAUUUUUCUUCCCAAAGCUAUCACUUAGUCUCCUUCUCUUGUCAUUCAGAUCUCUGCUCAAGUGCUCCCUACUCCAAGAGACCUUAAUAACCGUUACAUGUAGAUUGCACAAUCCUCCUCUGUCUUUCCUCUGUCUAUCUUAUUCCUGAACGCUUAUCAGCCUUAGCACUCUUUUCUUAUUCUCUUUAGAUCCUGCUCACUGUCCCACUCCUGGUCAUCACCCUGCCCCACCAGCCCACAUUCUUUCUCCCCUCUCUCACUCCCAUCCCUUUGGCUUUAGCUUUUAACAUCUCUGUUUGUGUGUUGUGUGUCACUUGCUCUCUGCAGUGUGAGCUCUGGGAGAAGAAGGAGUCUGUGAGUUAUUUACUGAUCACUCUGAGUUUCUGGUACAUAGCACACAUAGUGUUUCUAUGGAAAAAAAUAAUUGAUGGGAGUGGAGUGGGAGGCACGGACAAACCCUCCAUUGUUUCUGCUCAGUGGGAGAUACCUGCCUUAGCUAUUUAUUCUUUUUCUGCUAGUUGCCCAUUGGCUUCUCUGUGGGACACCACACUGUCAGCUGUGGCACAUGGGUGGCUAUGAACUUGAUUUCAGUGGUGUGUAGCAUGUAACUACUUACAUGACUAGAGCAUCAUGUUAGAGAUGACUGGGGAAACGAUACACAAUUGAUCUGCUGCAUCUAUAGACAUUCGGCUUCUUGGCAGCUAGAGUCAAAUGCUACACUACUAACUAGGUGAUUAACUUGGGCAUGUUGCCCCACUUCUCUGUGGGUUUUUGGCUUAAUACCAAAUUAUAAAGACUGAAGGAACUAACAUGAGCGACAACUCUUAGACCAUGUCUAGCACUUAUUAUCAUCUGGUGAGGAAAAAGAUAUGUUGUCUUCAAAGUUUGAAGCAAUGAAAUUACAGCCUUGGAGCUGCCAGGGAUCAUCUCGAUGCCAUGUAACACUUGAGAAUCAAGCCCCGGGGAUAAGGGACCAAAUGACAGGGAAACAUAGCCUCCCAGGGAUGCCUCUUUAUUUGCUUAAGUAAGUCUGAGUGAGAUUAUCAGCCAGUUGUAAUGAAAGAUUUGUAUCAGUGCACUUCUAGCAAUGUAUCCCUUCAAUUUGAUAUGUUGGCUUUGUUUCCUUGCUUCAGGUGAUCCUGUGACUUGUCUAAUUUUCUUCUGUCAAUGUCUCACAAUUCCCGAAAGCAACAACCAGCCAACCUGGUUCCUUUCUACUUUUCUUUGGUAAUUGUUCAGAUCAUGCAUUUAUUCUCUCUGACCUCUGUUACCGUACUGUAAUGAGAGAUGGGGCUGAAGAGACAGUCAAAGGAAUUAGCAGAAGGAGGGAAGAAAUGGCCUUUGCAGGGACAGCUUAAGACAACUGUGUUCUUGGUGACAGUGUCUAUGACAACAACCUUAGUUCAUUUUCUAACAUUUGUGGACUGACAGACCAUAUUAAAAAACACGGGAUAUCAUUCUUCUAUGUGUAAAUAAGCCACUGAAGAUUGCCUCCCACUCCUGAAAUAGUUUGAACUCUUAAAUUAUCCCUGGACUGAAGGCCAACAGUGUAGGUGGGCACAGGACAUAUUAAUCAAUUUGGGCAUUAAGAUUAAACAUGUCUUAAUUGUAGAUAAUAAAUGAUGCUUUUUUCUGA